UACCUGGCUACUAAAUUCUUGUACAAGUA
rnacentral:sRNA from 1 species